rnacentral:sRNA from 1 species
GGUUUUAACCCAAGUUAACCAAGGUUAGCAUGGAUUUCGACCAUUCGAAAGAAUGCGUUGAAUAAACGAUAAAUUUUGGAUCCGCUUCUUCGGGGUUUCCGUUGGAGCAAA